UAAUUGCAGAUUUCUUUUUUUAAAUUUAAUUUGUAGUUCUAAAUCCGUGUCAUAGAUGGCGUAUCAAAAUGUUGUCCUAAUUUUUUGUACGGAAGAUUUCGUUCUGUUUUAAUCUGUUCUGUGUGAACUAUAAAUGUAAACGUGCUUCAUCCAAACUAUUUUAAUAAUUAAAACACUGAGAUAACGUAAAGAUAAGUGAUGCAAAUAAUUAUUUUAAGGAUAGAAUCGGUAAAAUAAUUCUUGUUAUGUUUGUGUUUUCAGUAUCUAUUUUAAGGUGAGUGAAUUUAAAACCAUGACCUCGAAAAAAAAUAGGUUAUACCCUUGAUUAUGUAUGUUGUACUAAAAAAUAUUUUAAAAUUCAACCAAAAAAAAAGGAGCCAAAAUCUUAUUAAGUCAAUGUUACGCAAAUAUGACUUCAAUAUUGUACAUUAAACUGGAUUCAGACCAAAGUGAUUUUUUAUUAUCCUCUGUACAUCAUCAAAGUAGUAGUAUCUCUGGUAAUAUCAUUGAAAAUUUCUGUUCUGAUAAGUGUAGUUCCAGUGCUGAAAUUUCUUACAAUAUAGUAUUUAUAUAGGUAUUUAUAAUUAUUAGGUUCGAGAAUUAUCUAGACUUGGUGGUUCAGGAGUAGCACAAAGUACAAGAAAAUGCUUUAUAAGGUUCUGGGCAAUGAAAUUGCACAAAAAUAUUCUUGGGAUGGGGCCAAACAGAAGAGAAGUUUGAAAUCCUUGUUAGUGGCCAAAAGCAAUUUUAGGCAUUUGAACUUAAAGAUAUUUGGUGUUGCAAAGACUGUAAUAACAUAUAUUUUAGACUCCAUGAAAGGUCAAUUUCAAGAGUCAAAAGAAACCGAAAUUAUCAAUAUAAUUAAAAUAUGGCUUGUAAAAAC